rnacentral:lncRNA from 1 species
CCAUUGUAUUGGAAAUUACGUGCGUUGUUUGGCAUUCCGUAGUUAUUGGGAGGCACUCCACCCAUGUUUGGUGGCAUAUUCGGCUGCUGCAUCCCACCUCCACGGGGUGGCCCUCUCAUGUCCGGCUGCUGCAUCCCGCCUGCAUGAGGUGGUGGCCCUCCAUAGCCUUGCUGCUGCAUGGGUGGUCCUCUCAUGUCCGGCUGCUGCAUACCGCCUGCAUGAGGUGGUGGCCCUCCAUAGCCUUGCUGCUGGUGCAUCCCGCCUGCAUGAGGUGGUGGCCCUCCCAUGCCUUGCUGCUGGUGCAUUCCACCCAUGUUAGGUUGCUGCAUGCCGCCCAUGUUGGGAGGCCCCCCUGCUGCCAUGUUAGAUCCAGGGUUCUGACUGGGUUGAUUCUGCAUCUCUCUUCUUCUCUCAAAGU